rnacentral:rRNA from 1 species
CCGGACCUGACUGCUAUCGGAUUGGUACUAAGCCAUGCGAGUCAUUGUAGCAAUACAAGGCGGACGGCUCAGUAACACGUAGUCAACCUAACCUAUGGACGUGGAUAACCUCGGGAAACUGAGAAUAAACCGCGAUAGAUCAUUAUGCCUGGAAUGGCUUAUGGUUCAAACAAUUUAUUGCCGUAGGAUGGGACUGCGGCCUAUCAGCUUGUUGGUGAGGUAAUGGCCCACCAAGGCUAUAACAGGUACGGGCUCUGAGAGGAGAAGCCCGGAGAUGGGUACUGAGACACGGACCCAGGCCCUAUGGGGCGCAGCAGGCGAGAAACCUUAGCAAUGUGCGAAAGCACGACUAGGUUAAUCCGAGUGAUUCCUGUUGAAGGAAUCUUUUGUCAGUCGUAAAACCACAGACGAAUAAGGGGUGGGCAAGUCUGGUGUCAGCCGCCGCGGUAAUACCUGCACCUCGAGUGGUCAGGAGGUUUAUUGGGCCUAAAGCAUCCGUAGCCGGCUUUGCAAGUCUCCGGUUAAAUCCAGCUGCUCAACAGAUGGGCUGCCGGAGAUACUACACAGCUAGGGAGCGGGAGAGGCAGACGGUAUUCUGUGGGUAGGGGUAAAAUCCAUUGAUCCAUAGAGGACCACCAGUGGCGAAGCGGUCUGCCAGAACGCGUUCGACGGUGAGGGAUGAAAGCUGGGGAGCAAACNGAUUAGAUACCCGGGUAGUCCCAGCUGUAACGAUGCAAACUCGGUGAUGCAUUGGCUUAUGGCCAAU